UACGGGGGGAGCAAGCGUUGUUCGGAUUUACUGGGCGUAAAGGGCGGGUAGGCGGCCACCGCAAGUCGACUGUGAAAUCUCCGGGCUUAACCCGGAAAGGUCAGCCGAUACUGCGGGGCUAGAGUGCAGAAGGGGCAACUGGAAUUCUCGGUGUAGCGGUGAAAUGCGUAGAUAUCUGGAGGAACACCGGUGGCGAAGGCGGCAUCCUGGACCAACACUGACACUGAUGAGCGAAAGCCAGGGGAGCAAACGGG
rnacentral:rRNA from 1 species